UCUCGCUGCUUUAUGAUGUUAGUAACAGGCUACUUGUCGGGGUGCACUUGGGCUGUUUACAUACAUGUGAUUUGAGGGUAGUAUUGUGCAGGUGGGAAAAAAUGCCAUGAUAUUGUUUUCCGCUGUCGGUAGUUUGGCAUCAAUUUUAAUUACCCCCCCCCCUCCUUAUUAGAUACAUCGAGAAUAAUUACCGGUGUGAUACCUUGGAAGCUGGUGUAUGCAUAAAGUUAGACCUACUGGAAAUUGCUGAUACACGCAUGUAGAAAUGAAACAUUUUCUAUCAGCCGUAUUCACUAUCCCGAAUUUGUAGAUCGUCAAUCAAAAGGAAAACACAGAUUUCUAGCACUCGGAAGAAAGCGAAUAACAUAAACAAUCCUUAACACUACUGUCCAUGUAUAUUUAGAUAACUUUUAAAAAAUAUCUAUAAAGCUUUACACUGUAACAGUCAGAUUCCGGUAAUAGUUACAAGACUGUGACGUCACACUCGAGUAAGCCGUCUGACGCGUCUGACGUAUGCAAGACAGCGAAUGUGAAAGUACAUAGAAACUCUACAGACUGAUGAGAAUUACUUUAGACGGGGUACGUCAACGAAUAGGCACGACAGCGAAAAUACGGAAGUCACUUCGGGGACGUGUCGCAGAAUCGCAUAACUCUACACGAGAUUAAAAGAAAGAAAAAAAGACAAUGAAGACAACCAUGUAAAAACAAAUUCAAUCAGUUAAAUUAUCAGCAGAUUGAAA